CGCGGCCUAUCAGCUUGUUGGUGAGGUAAUGGCUCACCAAGGGGUCGACGGGUAGCCGGCCUGAGAGGGUGACCGGCCACACUGGGACUGAGACACGGCCCAGACUCCUACGGGAGGCAGCAGUGGGGAAUAUUGCACAAUGGGCGGAAGCCUGAUGCAGCAACGCCACGUGAGGGAUGACGGCCUUCGGGUUGUAAACCUCUUUUAGCAGGGAAGAAGCGAGAGUGACGGUACCUGCAGAAAAAGCACCGGCUAACUACGUGCCAGCAGCCGCGGUAAUACGUACGGUGCAAGCGUUAUCCGGAAUUAUUGGGCGUAAAGAGCUCGUAGGCGGUCUGUCGCGUCUGCUGUGAAAUUCCGAGGCUCAACCUCGGGCUUGCAGUGGGUACGGGCAGACUAGAGUGCGGUAGGGGAGAUUGGAAUUCCUGGUGUAUCGGUGGAAUGCGCAGAUAUCAGGAGGAACGCCGAUGGCGAAGGCAGAUCUCUGGGCCGUAACUGACGCUGAGGAGCGAGAGGGUGGGGAGCAAACAGGCUUAGAUACCCUGGUAGUCCACCCCGUAAACGUUGGGAACUAGUUGUGGGGUCCUUUCCACGGAUUCCGUGACGCAGCUAACGCAUUAAGUUCCCCGCCUGGGGAGUACGG
rnacentral:rRNA from 1 species